AUUGAACGCUGGCGGCAGGCCUAACACAUGCAAGUCGAGCGGAUGAGGGGAGCUUGCUCUCUGAUUCAGCGGCGGACGGGUGAGUAAUGCCUAGGAAUCUGCCUGGUAGUGGGGGACAACGUUUCGAAAGGAACGCUAAUACCGCAUACGUCCUACGGGAGAAAGGGGGGGAUCUUCGGACCUCACGCUAUUCGAUGAGCCUAGGUAGGAUUAGCUAGUUGUUGAGGUAAAGGCUCACCAAGGCGACGAUCGUUAACGGGUGUGAGAGGAUGAUCAGUCACCCUGGAACUGGGACACGGUCCAGACUCCUACGGGAGGCAGCAGUGGGGAAUAUUGGACAAUGGGCGAAAGCCUGAUCCAGCCAUUCCGCGUGUGUGAAGAAGGUCUUCGGAUUGUAAAGCACUUUAAGUUGGGAGGAAGGGCAGUAAGUUAAUACCUUGCUGUUUUGACGUUACCAACAGAAUAAGCACCGGCUAACUUCGUGCCAGCAGCCGCCGUAAUAC
rnacentral:rRNA from 1 species